UUUCUUUGAUGGAAUAAAGGCUUUCUUGAAAGACACUGAAGCAAUAACCUCCUCGAGGAUAACUGCGAAUCCACCAAAAACCAGUUAUAUUUGUUCCUUUUUCUUCUUGAUCGUCUUGAGAGAGAGAGAGAGAGAGAGAGAGAUUAGAGAAUGGAGAAGAAGAAAGACGUGGUUCGAUUGGAGCGGGAGUCUGUAAUUCCAAUUUUGAAGCCGAAACUCAUCAUGAGGUUGGCCAACCUCAUUGAAUGCAGUUCUGACAGAGCUGAAUUUUUGAAGCUCUGCAAAAGAGUUGAAUACACUAUCCGUGCUUGGUAUCUUCUGCAACUUGAGGAUCUGAUGGUUUGUCUCAAUUUUGUGCCAAAUGAAGUCUAUAGUCCCCUUAAGUGUUUUCAUCUGAGUAUCUUAUAUCUAUUGAUCCAAAUGGCCCUUCUAUGUUAUUGUGCCCGCAACAAUUAUACUCUCUCUUUGAUCCUGUCCAUGGGACUCAGAAAUUAGAGCAGCAGAACCUAAUCCCAGAUGCGGUUGACAUUCUUGAAGAGAAUUUCCUCACUUACUUGUUUCAGGUAAUGAAUAAGAGCAAUUUCAAGAUAGCUACUGAUGAUGAGAUUGAUGUUGCAUAUUCAGCGUAGUAUCUUCUAAAUCUUCCAAUAACAGUUGAUGAAUCUAAGCUUGACAAUAAGCUUUUGAAGCGGUACCUCAUGAAAAUCUUCCGGACUUCGCUGAUAAGGUAUGGUUGUAAACUUACAUUACAAGAACUGGAGUUAGUUGAUAGCUCUUGUAAACGUAAGUGUAACUGGUAUUGUAGGUACUAGUAGACCUUUCUUGUGGUUUGGGGGAAGGUUUUUACUCACAGUUGGAGAGGUUUUUAUUCCUUCAUUGUGUGUGCGCGCUGGUGGAGGUGUCGGCGGCUUUACAAUGCUUCCUUUGCUAGAUAGGGCACGUGGAUUGCCAUCUAUGUUCGAGGGGAUUGGAAUUGCAUGUUGAAUCUACAUCCACGUCCUCUUCCAGAGGACCACUCAAUCAUGAAUCCUGGUUAAAGCCCAGGCCCCAGUUACAUGGAAUUGCAAAACUAUUCAAACCUCUUCCUUUAGCUGAUUGGGAAUGGAGUUUUUAUUUUUUUCCAAUCACUAACUUUCUCCUUUAAUCUGAAUGGAAGCCCACCUUCUGAGGAACUACAACUCUAUUGAGACAAAAAACUUCCAUUCCGUUUUAUAUCUUUCGUCAAUCCUUCCCUCUCCCUCCGUUCUAAGAAAAAUUAUACGUGUCAGACCUAGGAAUGGCUCGUUUCCUUAAUGCUUCUCCAGCUCAGUAGAUGUACAGUUGUGCCCCAGGGGUGACAGCACAUGCAAGGAAAUGAGAGAAAAACUCACUAUAUAUAUCAACCAUAUACAAAGAUGAAAAAACUCUCCGGGGGAGAACCACCGGCUCCCCCUCUCCCCCUCUGACCUCACUCUCUCUUAGACUAAAUUGCUACACCACACCACCACCUCUCUCUGAUGAGUACCUAAAUACACAAGAGAAAGACCAAGCCUUAAAGGCUUUCUGCGUGAAUCGGUUGGGAUCUGUUGGCACAGUGUCCUGCCGACACUAGGGAAGUAAUCCUCUACGACUUGCACAUGGGUUUGCUCCCACUUGGGGGGAGUAAUAUCCAACAAUCGGCCCCCUCCGACCAAGUGUGAAACCCAAACGUCACUUUUUCUCAACCACACUAUCCUUUGUCAAUCUCAUGUUCCAGAGAAUCAUCUCAGCAUCCCUCUACUCACACCAGAGGCUCCAUUCGCCAGAUGGGCUCACACCCUGCCUGGAAAGAGUCUGAAUCCUAUCUCUGUUGACAUGCCACAUCCCCCAUUUAGCUUCACAGCACACCAAACCGAGAUACACCACUCAUCUAUCCAGGAUGUCUUCCUGAUUUGCUAGAUCUCUGUGGCUCACACCGACUUCAUCGCCGAUAUAUUCUGCACCCCCGAAAAAGAGUGCCCGCAUCCUCACCCGGAUGCUCCUGGUCUGCCAUCUACGAUAACAAUGUAGUGUGCACCUGAUCUCCCGCAGAACCCGAUGGAACACCACUUGCUUAACAUCCUCCACCCGUCUCUGAAAAAAAUUCACGGAAUGGUUCGUCACAUUUGAACUUAGAUUACUUGCAUCUUUAACCGAGAUGUCUCAGUAAAACUUGCCAUCAACCAUUGGAAUUCCCAGGAAAGAAUGGUGGGGUUGAUCAGACCCACUCAAAUACCACCCUCUUCCAACACUGUAGUUUUGCAAGAAUUUACUUCAUAUCUACAAUAGAGUCCACUUGUAUCUACGCUCCUCCGUUGCUUGAGCGCAUGCAUUACACUUGGAAUGCCAAUAUUCGUGUCUGUCAAUAAUCGAACACUCGUUCCCAGUCACAGUCGUCACCAUCUCAAUUCCCCUGUUCGGACCCCAAUUAACACCCUAGCAAGCUGUUGCAAUCAUGGUUGCAGCAUUUCACCCGCAAUCUGAUUCGCUAUGAGGCACAUCUGUACAUCUCAGGUCGCGACUCUCGUACUCCUAUGCCUAUUCUAUGAGACUCUGCAACUGCUACUCAUCUUGUUCAUUGUUGAUCAACACCCAUACUACUUGACUGUGCCUUGCAUUAGCUCCAUCUGCCACUGCACUUCCACAAGCCUGUAUUGGUGGCCCCUCAUCCGUUGGAUUGGAAAUCACCAUUCGAUCAGCUCACCUGCAGCCCGAAUCAUAGUUUCAUCUCCGGAUGAUAGGUUCAAAAUUGAGCCAAACUGCCUUCAAUUACUGUUGACCAUCUUCGCAAUCACUAGUUCACCCAGAUCAACCUUAAGAUCUCUGCCGAGUGUGUCAAUCCUCCUUGGUGGGUAGCAUCCGUGCACUGUCCGCCUUUCUCGUCUCCUUCCUCGAACCUCCUGCCACUCUCGUCAACUCUCACAGGUCAUCUCCUGCCUCCUCGUUCAUCCUUGUUCCAUUCCCCGGCUUUUGCAGUCAGAUCAUCAUGGUUUGCCUCUGAAACAAAUCUCCCAACUGACCUUGACCAAUCCCGAUCAUCCUCGAUAUCACUAGGUCACCCAGCCAGCCAGACGUUCAGAUGGUUGGUGGUUGGUGAUGUUACCAUGGCACGGGGUGGCAUGCGCGCCAACUUAGCCACCUAGGCAGGCACUCCCCUAUUACACUACAAUGGUAAACCCUAAUAACUUAGCUAUCAAGUAUGCUCUCUCCUUGAGUUGAAACUAACUUGGUCAUCGAAGUGCCCACAAGCCACCUUCGGCCGGUUGGCACUAAUCGUUUGCUACUUGUGGAGUGAACGGAAGGGAGAAGUGGGCUAGAAGAUCAAACCACAAAACAAGCAACCCAGAUCUGAGAGAGAGAGGCCCAACCUAGAAGAGUGAACACCAUCCCAUAGUGAUUAUGACACAUCUUUCACCUCUUUACCAACCAAAAGACAAGCAAUUUGACUCAUUCAACUAUGUCUUGAAUUGAUGUUCUUUGAGGAUCAGGAGAUUUAGUUUUGACAAUAGUUUUGUAUGGAGUUUGUUCCAUCUUCUUCAUUGGCAUGUUUCAUCUGUUAUGGGGUACAAAAAUGAUAAAAUCUUGAAUUUCUCCAUCAUGUGGGGUCUUUCUCUCAUACAGCCAAGGAUGCCCCAACAAGAUAUGGCACACCUCUAGAGGUUACUCCAAGAAGAAGACGAGGGAUGUGAAUCUAGUCAGUGUCGGGCAACGCAACAUGUGGUAGUUGAUGGGUCCAAGGUGAAUUCAUCAAUUCCAGGGCCAAGCUCGUCUUCCGAUAGGGAUAAAAAGUUUGGGUUGACAUUUGAAAACUUGUCUGCUGAGGGAAAGGCCCGCUGGCCUAAUUUGUUUUCCGGCAUUGGAAAUCAGUGAGGUUUGUGUAUCAGGACAUAUAUGGACUUCAAUUGGGUACCAUUGUUCACCUGCCUUGCACCUUAAUCGCCUAUGGUUUGUGUUUAUUGCUUUUCAGUUAUAUCUUGAAAGGGACUGGUGGAGGUUGCGUCACUUUUAUUUAAAGGAUAGACUGUGGAGCGCGUCGCUCUUCUAUCUU